UACCAGCUCUCCGAGUGGUGUGGAUGUUUAUUGGGCCUAAAGCAUCCGUAGCUGGCUGGGCAAGUCCCCUGUUAAAUCCACCGAUUUAAUCGUUGGUGUGCGGGGGAUACUGUUCGGCUAGGGGACGGGAGAGGCCGACGGUAUUUUCGGGGUAGGGGUGAAAUCCUAUAAUCCCGGGAAGACCACCAGUGGCGAAGGCUGUCGGCUAGAACGCGCCCGACGGUGAGGGAUGAAAGCUGGGGGAGCGAACCGGAUUAGAUACCCGGGUAGUCCCAGCUGUAAACGAUGCAGGCUAGGUGUUUGGGCGGCCACGUGCCGCUCUAGUGCCGCAGAGAAGUCGUUAAGCCCGCCGCCUGGGGAGUACGGCCGCAGGCUGAAACUUAAGGAAUUGGCGGGGAGCACACAAGGGUGAGCUUGCGUUU
rnacentral:rRNA from 1 species